AUUGAACGCUGGCGACAUGCCUUACACAUGCGAGUCGAACGGCAGCACGGGUGCUUGCACCUGGUGGCGAGUGGCGAACGGGUGAGUAAUACAUCGGAACAUGUCCUGUAGUGGGGGAUAGCCCGGCGAAAGCCGGAUUAAUACCGCAUACGAUCUACGGAUGAAAGCGGGGGACCUUCGGGCCUCGCGCUAUAGGGUUGGCCGAUGGCUGAUUAGCUAGUUGGUGGGGUAAAGGCCUACCAAGGCGACGAUCAGUAGCUGGUCUGAGAGGACGACCAGCCACACUGGGACUGAGACACGGCCCAGACUCCUACGGGAGGCAGCAGUGGGGAAUUUUGGACAAUGGGCGAAAGCCUGAUCCAGCAAUGCCGCGUGUGUGAAGAAGGCCUUCGGGUUGUAAAGCACUUUUGUCCGGAAAGAAAUCCUUGGCCCUAAUACGGUCGGGGGAUGACGGUCCCGGAAGAAUAAGCACCGGCUAACUACGUG
rnacentral:rRNA from 1 species